rnacentral:rRNA from 1 species
AUUGAACGCUGGCGGCAUGCCUUACACAUGCAAGUCGAACGGCAGCACGGGAGCAAUCCUGGUGGCGAGUGGCGAACGGGUGAGUAAUAUAUCGGAACGUGCCCAGUCGUGGGGGAUAACGUAGCGAAAGCUACGCUAAUACCGCAUACGAUCUAUGGAUGAAAGCGGGGGAUCGCAAGACCUCGCGCGAUUGGAGCGGCCGAUAUCAGAUUAGGUAGUUGGUGAGGUAAAGGCUCACCAAGCCGACGAUCUGUAGCUGGUCUGAGAGGACGACCAGCCACACUGGGACUGAGACACGGCCCAGACUCCUACGGGAGGCAGCAGUGGGGAAUUUUGGUACAAUGGGCGCAAGCCUGAUCCAGCAAUGCCGCCGUGCAGGAUGAAGGCCUUCGGGUUGUAAACUGCUUUGUUACGGAACGAAACGGUGAGCUCUAAUACAGUUUGCUAAUGACGGUACCGUAAGAAUAAGCACCGGCUAACUACGUG